AUUGAACGCUGGCGGCAGGCAUAACACAUGCAAGUCGAACGAGUGGCGGACGGGUGAGUAAUGUCUGGGAAACUGCCUGAUGGAGGGGGAUAACUACUGGGAACGGUAGCUAAUACCGCGUACCAUCGGAUGUGCCCAAAUGGGAUUAUGUAGUAGGUGGGGUAAAGGCUCACCUAGCCGACGAUCGCUAGCUGGUAUGAGAGGAUGACCUGCCACACUGGGACUGAGACACGGUACAGACGCUUACGGGAGGCAGCAGUGGGGACUAUUGCACAAUGGGGGCGAGCCUGAUGCAGCCAUGCCGCGUGAAUGAAGAAGGCCUUCGGGUUGUAAAGUUCUUUCAGCGUGGAGGCGUUAACCGCAGAAGAAGCACCGGCUGACUCCGUGCCAGCAGCCGAGGUGAUAC
rnacentral:rRNA from 1 species